UCUCUGGUAGUUUAGUGGUCAUGAUUGUACGAGUCAAUUCCUGUCACUUGAAUUUACAAUAAUCACUAACAUCUAUGUAGUCCGCUUGUCAUAACGGCAAAGCGCGGGAGACCUGGGUUCGAUUCCCAGUCAGAGAG
rnacentral:tRNA from 1 species